rnacentral:rRNA from 1 species
CGCUGGCGGCAGGCCUAACACAUGCAAGUCGAGCGGUAACAUUUCUAGCUUGCUAGAAGAUGACGAGCGGCGGACGGGUGAGUAACGCGUAGAAAUCUACCUAGUAGUGGGGGAUAGCCCAGAGAAAUUUGGAUUAAUACCGCAUACGCCCUACGGGGGAAAGCGGGGGAUCUUCGGACCUCGUGCUAUUAGAUGAGUCCGCGUCGGAUUAGCUUGUUGGUGAGGUAAUGGCUCACCAAGGCGACGAUCCGUAGCUGGUCUGAGAGGAUGACCAGCCACACUGGAACUGAGACACGGUCCAGACUCCUACGGGAGGCAGCAGUGGGGAAUAUUGCACAAUGGGCGCAAGCCUGAUGCAGCCAUGCCGCGUGUGUGAAGAAGGCCUUAGGGUUGUAAAGCACUUUCAGCAGUGAGGAAAGGGGUGUCGUUAAUAGCGCCAUCCUGUGACGUUAACUGCAGAAGAAGGACCGGCUAACUCCGUG